rnacentral:rRNA from 1 species
AUUGAACGCUGGCGGCGUGCUUAACACAUGCAAGUCGAUCGGUAACAGGUGUAGCAAUACAUGCUGACGAGAGGCGGACGGGUGAGUAAUGCUUGGGAAUCUGCCUAUUAGUGGGGGACAACCCGGGGAAACUCGGGCUAAUACCGCAUACGCUCUACGGAGGAAAGCCGGGGACCGCAAGGCCUGGCGCUAAUAGAUGAGCCCAAGUCGGAUUAGCUAGUCGGUAGGGUAACGGCCUACCAAGGCGACAAUCCGUAGCUGGUCUGAGAGGACGACCAGCCACACCGGAACUGAGACACGGUCCGGACUCCUACGGGAGGCAGCAGUGGGGAAUAUUGGACAAUGGGGGCAACCCUGAUCCAGCGACGCCGCGUGGGUGAAGAAGGCCUGCGGUUGUAAAGCCCUUUCGGUGGGGAAGAAAAGUCUCGACCUAAUACGUCGGGACCUUGACCGUAACCCACUAAAGAAGCACCGGCUAACUCUGUGCCAGCAGCCG